rnacentral:tRNA from 1 species
GGAGAGAUGGCUGAGCGGUUGAAAGCACCGGUCUUGAAAACCGGCAUACUCUUACGAGUAUCGUGGGUUCGAAUCCCACUCUCUCCGCCA